GGUGUGACGCAGGAAGGUAGCCCAAGCCAGGCGAUGGUUGUCCUGGUGCAAGUGCGUAGGCCGAGUCGUAGGCAAAUCCGCGAUUCACAUAGGCUGAGACACGAUGCGGAUAAAAAGUGGGUGAUCCUAUGCUGCCAAGAAAAGCAUC
rnacentral:ncRNA from 1 species